CCCGUGAAAUUAAGCAUAUAAUUAAGCUGAGGAAAAGAAACUAACCAGGAUACCCUUAGUAACGGCGAGUGAAACGGGUGUAGCUCACCGUGUGAAUCUGCGCCCUUGUUGGCGCCGAAUUGUGGUCUGGAGACUUUCGCGUUAUUGGCCGGGCCAAGUCCCUUGGAACAGGGCAGCUUAGAGGGUGAGACUCCCGUGCGCCUGGCCUUUUUGAGCGAUUGUCAACGAGUCGUGUUUUUUGGGAUUGAAGCACAAAGUGGGUGGUAAAUUCCAUCUAAAGCUAAAUACUGGUGGGAGACCGAUAGCGUACAAGUACCGUGAGGGAAAGAUGCAAAGAACUUUGAAAAGAGAGUUAAAGAGUACCUGAAAUUGCUGAAAAGGAAGCGAAGGAAACCAGUGCUAGCUUUGUCAUAUUUCUGGAGCCGCUUGCGGUUUUGGCGCUGUGGUUUAGCGUUGUCAGGCUUUGUUGGUGUUGGCCGGAAAUGCGUGUGGCAGGGAGUUGACCUGCUUCCGUUGCGGCUGUGCUGACUGAGGUUGACGAAAUGGUUUUCUUUUUCCCGUCUAGAAACACGGACCAAGGAGUUUAACAUAUGUGCGAGUACAGGGGUGUCAAACCUGUGUGCGCAAUGAAAGUGACAGUGGCUGGAUUCUAUAUUGAUUGUGGAAUGCACAGUCCGCCGGCCUCAAUCCCUCGGGAGAACGGUCUGAGUGUGAGCAUACAUGUUGAGACCCGAAAGAUGGUGAACUAUGCCUGAAUA
rnacentral:rRNA from 1 species